rnacentral:rRNA from 1 species
UACGUAGGGUGCGAGCGUUAAUCGGAAUUACUGGGCGUAAAGCGUGCGCAGGCGGUUUUGUAAGCCAGAUGUGAAAUCCCCGGGCUUAACCUGGGAAUGGCAUUUGGGACUGCAAGGCUUGAGUUUGGCAGAGGAGACUGGAAUUCCUGGUGUAGCAGUGAAAUGCGUAGAGAUGUGGAGGAACACCGAUGGCGAAGGCAGCCCCCUGGGUCAAGAUUGACGCUCAUGCACGAAAGCGUGGGGAGCAAACAGG